UCCAGUUAUAGGCAACUGUCUAGGUUUCCUUGUACCUAGGCAAGUGUUACACUACUGGGAGGAAAGCAGCCAGUAGCUGGCAGGCAUUCUGGGCUUGGUUAAUGCUAAAUUAGUGUUAACUAUACCAGUGUGCCAGCAUA
rnacentral:snoRNA from 1 species